AGUUCUCCUAUCUCAGAAAGUUAAUUGGACUUGCAUAAAUUGGGAGGGGGUGUUGAAUGUGAUGCAAUUUCUGCAGGUGGUGACACCACUCCUCACUUCCCUGGGUGGUCUUUUUACCCCAACUCUGAGAAAAUUCGUCACUAGCGUGGGUCCUCUGUUCAGCACCGGGUGUGUGUGCAAUCAGUUUUUUUUGGUCUCUUUGUUCUAUGUAUUAUGUUAUAUAUAUAUUAUUAAAGGAAGUAGUUUACAUUUUUGCGUCCUGGAUAUUUGCUUUAUUCAAGAUUAAAAAUUCAACAUAUCUAAUUUGUGUUUUUG
rnacentral:lncRNA from 1 species